AUAAGAGACAGGUGAGUCAUCGAAUCUUUGAACGCACAUUGCGCCCGCCAGCAUUCUGGCGGGCAUGCCUGUUCGAGCGUCAUUUCAACCCUCAAGCUCUGCUUGGUGUUGGGGCCCUACGGUUGACGUAGGCCCUCAAAGGUAGUGGCGGACCCUCCCGGAGCCUCCUUUGCGUAGUAACUAACGUCUCGCAUCGGGAUCCGGAGGGACUCUUGCCGUAAAACCCCCCAAUUUUUCAAUGGUUGACCUCGGAUCAGGUAGGAAUACCCGCUGAACUUAAGCAUAUCAAUAAGCGGAGGA
rnacentral:misc_RNA from 1 species